UGUCGUCUAGACGGUGCAAAGAAGCCGUGGGACCGAGCGAACUCUGCAGACAGGUCAAUGGCUUCAAGGGUACGGAGCGCAGGCGGAGGCGGCGACACAGACUCGUUAGACCUCGACAGAAUGAAACAGGAAAUCUUGGAAGAGGUGUUUCGUGAAUUGCACAAAGUGAAGGAUGAAAUCAUCGAUG